CAAACCCGCUGCUGACGAAUCCCAACGUUAUUAGUUCUUAAUUUGCUCUAUUAAUAGCCACGGGGAAGUCCAGAAUGUCCAUGGCAAAGGGUGUGACCGUAGAUUCCCGUUUCGCGGCCAGGAACGAUAGUUUUGUGUAACCAACCCCUGAUGAAACCUUUCCGGCUGCCCGGAGUUCCCCAGAAGGCAGUGAGGGCUAUAAGAGCAGAACCCAGGCAUGGUAAGGGCAGAAAGCCAUGGUGCCUGGAGCGAGCCCUGCACACACCGAGCCCAUACCGCCAGUCAUGAUGGACAGCUCUUCCUCUACCGUAGCAGAUACGAGCAGUGGACUUGUCUACUCGGUCUGCUUCCAUGGGUAGAGCCCACAGCCCAGCUGGGAGAUCAAGGACUGAGACCUCGCUGAGGCUUCCCCCUCUCUCCCUGUUGCAUCAUUUCCCUCCACCCACUAGAAGAAGCUGCAGCACGGAGGAGGCCCAACCUUAGCCCUGCUUGGGGAGGAAGCAGGAGGGAGACAGCCUUGGCGAGAGUUGUCAGCAACACUAUCUGCUUUCCAGUUGGAGUGUGACACUUCUGCUGGCAAGGAAGAGGAGCUCUGCUCUUCCCCUUCCCGCAGGAGUGUUUCAUGGUUGGGAGGUACCAAAUAACUCCCGUAAAAUGCUGUCCCAGGUGUGCUGUGCUUCGCACUGCCAACAGGACAGGAAUUUUGGUAUUUCUGCAAAAACCUUACUGUCUGUCUUGCCCAAAACAACAAAAUAAACCAUGCCAAGUCUA